AGCGAACGCUGGCGGCAGGCCUAACACAUGCAAGUCGAACGAAGCCUUCGGGCUUAGUGGCGGACGGGUGAGUAACACGUGGGAACGUACCUUUUGGUUCGGAACAACUCAGGGAAACUUGAGCUAAUACCGGAUGAGCCCUUAGGGGGAAAGAUUUAUCGCCGAAAGAGCGGCCCGCGUUAGAUUAGCUAGUUGGUGAGGGAAAGGCUCACCAAGGCAACGAUCUAUAGCUGGUCUGAGAGUAUGAGCAGCCACACUGGGAUUGAGACACGGCCCAGACUCCUACGGGAGGCAGCAGUGGGGAAUCUUGCGCGAUGGGCGAAAGCCUGACGCAGCCAUGCCGCGUGAAUGAUGAAGGUCUUAGGAUUGUAAAAUUCUUUUACCAGGGACGAUAAUGACGGUACCUGGAGAAAAAGCCCCGGCUAACUUCGUGCCAGCAGCCGCAGUAACAC
rnacentral:rRNA from 1 species